rnacentral:rRNA from 1 species
GUUGAACGCUGGCGGCAGGCCUAACACAUGCAAGUCGAACGGUAACAGGGAUCAGCUUGCUGAUUCGCUGACGAGUGGCGGACGGGUGAGUAAUGUCUGUGAAACUGCCUGAUGGAGGGGGAUAACUACUGGAAACGGUAGCUAAUACCGCAUAACGUCGCAAGACCAAAGAGGGGGACCUUCGGGCCUCUUGCCAUCGGAUGUGCCCAGAUGGGAUUAGCUAGUAGGUGGGGUAACGGCUCACCUAGGCGACGAUCCCUAGCUGGUCUGAGAGGGUGACCAGCCACACUGGAACUGAGACACGGUCCAGACUCCUACGGGAGGCAGCAGUGGGGAAUAUUGCACAAUGGGCGCAAGCCUGAUGCAGCCAUGCCGCGUGUAUGAAGAAGGCCUUCGGGUUGUAAAGUACUUUCAGCGGGGAGGAAGGGAGUAAAGUUAAUACCUUUGCUCAUUGACGUUACCCGCAGAAGAAGCACCGGCUAACUCCGUG